rnacentral:sRNA from 3 species
GUUUGCACUUAUCGGGGAAGGGUGAGAACCUUCGAUUAAGGUUCGACUCGAGCGAAAGCGAGAGAACGUUGCCAACGGCAACGGCCCGUAGGGUGA